rnacentral:rRNA from 1 species
AGAACUUUCCAGAGAUGGAUUGGUGCCUUCGGGAACUCUGAGACAGGUGCUGCAUGGCUGUCGUCAGCUCGUGUUGUGAAAUGUUGGGUUAAGUCCCGCAACGAGCGCAACCCUUAUCCUUUGUUGCCAGCGGUUAGGCCGGGAACUCAAAGGAGACUGCCAGUGAUAAACUGGAGGAAGGUGGGGAUGACGUCAAGUCAUUAUGGCCCUUACGAGUAGGGCUACACACGUGCUACAAUGGCGCAUACAAAGAGAAGCGACCUCGCGAGAGCAAGCGGACCUCAUAAAGUGCGUCGUAGUCCGGAUUGGAGUCUGCAACUCGACUCCAUGAAGUCGGAAUCGCUAGUAAUCGUGGAUCAGAAUGCCACGGUGAAUACGUUCCCGGGCCUUGUACACACCGCCCGUCACACCAUGGGAGUGGGUUGCAAAAGAAGUAGGUAGCUUAACCUUCGGGAGGGCGCUUACCACUUUGUGAUUCAUGACUGGGGUGAAGUCGUAACAAGGUAAGCGUAGUGCU